rnacentral:rRNA from 1 species
CUACGGGGUGCUCCAGUGAGGAAUAUUGCACAAUGGGGGGAACCCUGAUGCAGCAACGCCGCGUGGAGGAUGACGCAUUUCGGUGUGUAAACUCCUUUUAUAUGUCAAGAAAAUGACGGUAGCAUAUGAAUAAGCACCGGCUAACUCCGUGCCAGCAGCCGCGGUAAUACGGAGGGCGCAAGCGUUACUCGGAAUCACUGGGCGUAAAGAGCGUGUAGGCGGAUUAAAAAGUCAGAAGUGAAAUCCUAUAGCUUAACUAUAGAACUGCACUUGAAACUUCUAAUCUAGAGUAUGGGAGGGGGAGAUGGAAUUAGUGGUGUAGGGGUAAAAUCCGUAGAUAUCACUAGGAAUACCUAAAGCGAAGGCGAUCUCCUGGAACAUUACUGACGCUAAGGCGUGAAAGCGUGGGGAGCAAACAGGAUUAGAUACCCCUGUAGUC